ACGGGUGAGUAACACGUGGGCAAUCUGCCCUGCACUCUGGGACAAGCCCUGGAAACGGGGUCUAAUACCGGAUAUGACUGUCUUGGGCAUCCGAGGUGGUGGAAAGCUCCGGCGGUGCAGGAUGGGCUCGCGGCCUAUCAGCUUGUUGGUGGGGUAAUGGCUUACCAAGGCGACGACGGGUAGCCGGCCUGAGAGGGCGACCGGCCACACUGGGACUGAGACACGGCCCAGACUCCUACGGGAGGCAGCAGUGGGGAAUAUUGCACAAUGGGCGCAAGCCUGAUGCAGCGACGCCGCGUGAGGGAUGACGGCCUUCGGGUUGUAAACCUCUUUCAGCAGGGAAGAAGCGUGAGUGACGGUACCUGCAGAAGAAGCGCCGGCUAACUACGUGCCAGCAGCCGCGGUAAUACGUAGGGCGCGAGCGUUGUCCGGAAUUAUUGGGCGUAAAGAGCUCGUAGGCGGCUUGUCACGUCGGGUGUGAAAGCCCGGGGCUUAACCCCGGGUCUGCAUUCGAUACGGGCUAGCUAGAGUUCGGUAGGGGAGAUCGGAAUUCCUGGC
rnacentral:rRNA from 1 species